CGGGGAGGUAGUGACGAAAAAUAACGAUACGGGACUCAUCCGAGGCCCCGUAAUCGGAAUGAGUACACUUUAAAUCCUUUAACGAGGACCAAUUGGAGGGCAAGUCUGGUGCCAGCAGCCGCGGUAAUUCCAGCUCCAAUAGCGUAUAUUAAAGUUGUUGCGGUUAAAAAGCUCGUAGUUGAAUCUGUGUGUCACAGUGUCGGUUCACCGCUCGCGGUGUUUAACUGGCAUUAUGUGGUACGUCCUACCGGUGGGCUUAGCUCCUCACGGGGCGGUCCAACUAAUAUCCCAUCGCGGUGCUCUUCACUGAGUGUCGAGGUGGGCCGGUACGUUUACUUUGAACAAAUUAGAGUGCUCAAAGCAGGCUACCUUCGCCUGAAUACUCUGUGCAUGGAAUAAUGGAAUAGGACCUCGGUUCUAUUUUGUUGGUUUUCGGAACCCCGAGGUAAUGAUUAAUAGGGACAGAUGGGGGCAUUCGUAUUGCGACGUUAGAGGUGAAAUUCUUGGAUCGUCGCAAGACGGACAGAAGCGAAAGCAUUUGCCAAAAAUGUUUUCAUUAAUCAAGAACGAAAGUUAGAGGUUCGAAGGCGAUCAGAUACCGCCCUAGUUCUAACCAUAAACGAUGCCAGCUAGCGAUCCGCCGAAGUUCCUCCGAUGACUCGGCGGGCAGCUUCCGGGAAACCAAAGCUUUUGGGUUCCGGGGGAAGUAUGGUUGCAAAGCUGAAACUUAAAGGAAUUGACGGAAGGGCACCACCAGGAGUGGAGCCUGCGGCUUAAUUUGACUC
rnacentral:rRNA from 2 species